rnacentral:rRNA from 1 species
GAUGAACGCUGGCGGCGUGCUUAACACAUGCAAGUCGAACGGAAAGGCCCAAGCUUGCUUGGGUACUCGAGUGGCGAACGGGUGAGUAACACGUGGGUGAUCUGCCCUGCACUUCGGGAUAAGCCUGGGAAACUGGGUCUAAUACCGGAUAGGACCACGUCUUGGAUGUUGUGGUGGAAAGUUUUUUCGGUGUGGGAUGAGCUCGCGGCCUAUCAGCUUGUUGGUGGGGUAAUGGCCUACCAAGGCGUCGACGGGUAGCCGGCCUGAGAGGGUGUACGGCCACAUUGGGACUGAGAUACGGCCCAGACUCCUACGGGAGGCAGCAGUGGGGAAUAUUGCACAAUGGGCGCAAGCCUGAUGCAGCGACGCCGCGUGGGGGAUGACGGCCUUCGGGUUGUAAACUCCUUUCGCUAGGGACGAAGCGUUUUUGUGACGGUACCGGGAGAAGAAGCACCGGCUAACUACGU